ACUCCUGCGGGAGGCAGCAGUGGGGAAUUUUGGACAAUGGGCGAAAGCCUGAUCCAGCAAUGCCGCGUGAGUGAAGAAGGCCUUCGGGUUGUAAAGCUCUUUUGUCAGGGAAGAAACGGUGAGAGCUAAUAUCUCUUGCUAAUGACGGUACCUGAAGAAUAAGCACCGGCUAACUACGUGCCAGCAGCCGCGGUAAUACGUAGGGUGCAAGCGUUAAUCGGAAUUACUGGGCGUAAAGCGUGCGCAGGCGGUUUUGUAAGUCUGAUGUGAAAUCCCCGGGCUCAACCUGGGAAUUGCAUUGGAGACUGCAAGGCUAGAAUCUGGCAGAGGGGGGUAGAAUUCCACGUGUAGCAGUGAAAUGCGUAGAUAUGUGGAGGAACACCGAUGGCGAAGGCAGCCCCCUGGGUCAAGAUUGACGCUCAUGCACGAAAGCGUGGGGAGCAAACAGGAUUAGAAACCCGAGUAGUCCCAUG
rnacentral:rRNA from 1 species